rnacentral:rRNA from 1 species
GAUGAACGCUGGCGGCGUGCUUAACACAUGCAAGUCGAACGGUGAAGCAGAGCUUGCUCUGUGGAUCAGUGGCGAACGGGUGAGUAACACGUGAGCAACCUGCCCCUGACUCUGGGAUAAGCGCUGGAAACGGCGUCUAAUACUGGAUAUGAGCUGCGACCGCAUGGUCAGCGGUUGGAAAGAUUUUUCGGUCUGGGAUGGGCUCACGGCCUAUCAGCUUGUUGGUGAGGUAAUGGCUCACCAAGGCGUCGACGGGUAGCCGGCCUGAGAGGGUGACCGGCCACACUGGGACUGAGACACGGCCCAGACUCCUACGGGAGGCAGCAGUGGGGAAUAUUGCACAAUGGGCGAAAGCCUGAUGCAGCAACGCCGCGUGAGGGAUGACGGCCUUCGGGUUGUAAACCUCUUUUAGCAGGGAAGAAGCGAGAGUGACGGUACCUGCAGAAAAAGCGCCGGCUAACUACGUG